rnacentral:misc_RNA from 1 species
GUGAGUCAUCGAAUCUUUGAACGCACCUUGCACCCUUUGGUAUUCCGAAGGGUACGCCCGUUUGAGCGUCAUUGUAAUCUCACUUCAACGACUUUUGUUGUUUGAAUGUGGACUUGGAUGUUGCCGUGUCAUUACGGCUCGUCCCAAAUGCCUGAGUGUACCCUGUUUUGCAGCGUAUCCAGUGUAAUAAACAUUUCACUAGAGUUGGUCGAAAGACCGCGUUUUGCGAUUUGGGCUCUAUGCUUCAAACCGUCCACUUGUGGACAAUACUUGACAAUUUGGCCUCAAAUCGGGUGGGAC